GACGAACGCUGGCGGCGUGCUUAACACAUGCAAGUCGAACGGUAAGGCCCUUCGGGGUACACGAGUGGCGAACGGGUGAGUAACACGUGGGUGAUCUGCCCUGCACUUCGGGAUAAGCCUGGGAAACUGGGUCUAAUACCGGAUAGGACACUGCCUGCAUGGGUGGUGGUGGAAAGCUUUUGCGGUGUGGGAUGGGCCCGCGGCCUAUCAGCUUGUUGGUGGGGUGAUGGCCUACCAAGGCGACGACGGGUAGCCGGCCUGAGAGGGUGACCGGCCAGACUGGGACUGAGAUACGGCCCAGACUCCGACGGGAGGCAGCAGUGGGGAAUAUUGCACAAUGGGCGCAAGCCUGAUGCAGCGACGCCGCGUGAGGGAUGACGGCCUUCGGGUUGUAAACCUCUUUCAGCACCGACGAAGCGCAAGUGACGGUAGGUGCAGAAGAAGGACCGGCCAACUACGUGCCAGCCGCCGCAGUAA
rnacentral:rRNA from 1 species